AUACGGAGGGUGCAAGCGUUAAUCGGAAUUACUGGGCGUAAAGCGCACGCAGGCGGUUUGUUAAGUCAGAUGUGAAAUCCCCGGGCUCAACCUGGGAACUGCAUCUGAUACUGGCAAGCUUGAGUCUCGUAGAGGGGGGUAGAAUUCCAGGUGUAGCGGUGAAAUGCGUAGAGAUCUGGAGGAAUACCGGUGGCGAAGGCGGCCCCCUGGACGAAGACUGACGCUCAGGUGCGAAAGCGUGGGGAGCAAACAGGAUUAGAUACCCUGGUAGUCCACGCCGUAAACGAUGUCGACUUGGAGGUUGUGCCCUUGAGGCGUGGCUUCCGGAGCUAACGCGUUAAGUCGACCGCCUGGGGAGUACGGCCGCAAGGUUAAAACUCAAAUGAAUUGACGGGG
rnacentral:rRNA from 1 species